UUGUAAAUCUUGCCUUCAUGUCCUCUUCACAGUGCCCUUAAAGACAGUCGCUUUCCCCCCAUGACGAGGGACGAGCUGCCGCGCCUCUUCUGCUCAGUGUCUCUGCUCACCAACUUUGAGGAUGUUGGUGAUUACCUAGACUGGGAGGUGGGUGUUCACGGAAUUAGGAUAGAAUUUUUUAAUGAAAAAGGAUCAAAGCGCACCGCCACCUACCUGCCAGAGGUUGCGAAGGAGCAAGGAUGGGACCACAUUCAGACCAUAGAUUCCUUACUUCGAAAGGGAGGUUACAAAGCUCCUAUCACAAAUGACUUCAGGAAGACUAUUAAACUGACCAGGUACCGUAGUGAAAAGAUGACCAUGAGCUACGCAGAAUACAUCGCCCACCGCCAGCAUCAUCACUACCAGAAUGGCAUCGGGCACCCUCUCCCUCCGUACAACCAUUAUUCCUGACAGCGAGCCGCAUGACCAGUCACUGGACCUCUCGGCGGACAUCUUUCCGGGAGAGCCCGCCCCCUCGUGGUCUAGCUAUCUGUACUACUGUACCAUUUUAUGAUGAUAGUUUCCGUUGCCAUGUCGACAGUCAGUUGGAGGCAUGGCAGCGGGUGGCAAAUAAGCAUUAGUGUAACACAAUCUCCUGCAGGUUUGAAAGGACAAGUAGUGACGAGUCUAACCCCAUCUUUCCCUCAUGGCCUGGGGGAUUCGGGCAUAUGCUUAACAUCUCAUCUGUUAUAGAUGUGCAAAUUUACGCAACAUACAAUUACCCUGGAGUCUCUCGCUUUGUUAAUGCUGUGGAUGUUCGCGUUCAUGUACAUCGCCGUUUUGAAAGACGGCUGGCUUAACUAGCCGAACGCUGUUGCCUCCAUAUGGCCAAAACUACAGCGAUAAUGAGGUUCAAUGUGCUGAGUUUACUUUGCUAACAACAUUUGUUCAAAUAUCAUUGGUUCGUUCGGUUGCAAGCCACACUAUGCGAUGAAAGACACGUUGGUUCUUUCGUUUUUGGUUCUGUCAGAUAUGUCGAUAGAUUUUAAGUUAAGAAAAAUCAGUUGUGAAAAGACUGCAAAUGGAACAAAAUAUUUUCAUGAUUCCUAGAGUAGUUUGAACAUGCACUUUGAGGACAUUAGCAAUCCCAGGCACAUUUAAACACUGUAGAAACUCAGUACCUGUCCUACAGUUACAUUGCUCAAAGAUUGGGUCAAAAAGCAUUUUCUCGCUAUGCUGUCUUUGGGUUUCUGUCAUUUUUAACAACACAACUGGGAUUAGUGUUUGGUGUGUAUAGCAAAUGCUCAUUUUAGGCAUACAUGUUGGGUUGUAACACCUGCAGACGAGCUUCACGCUCGCUGUUGAACCCAUAGUCCUUUGAAAGCCGUUUGGCUCAUGUUACCUUUGUGUGUUCAACCGAACCAAAGAUGCCUCCAGCCAUGUCCAAAUGCUGCUCUACAGACCUGCCUUCCUGUCCUUCCAAAAACCUUCCCUGCAAGAGAAAUGUCUUCUGUUUCUGUGUAUCUUUUUUUUUUUGUACAAUUUCUAAUGUUGUUUUAGGAUUUUAGCUACCUAAGUUCAAUGAAUUUUCAUUGUAGCUGUCUUUGAGACCUUGCACGGUGUCAAUGACCGUAAUACUAGGUUGUACUUUUUUUUGUUUGUUUGUUUUCAUCAUUGUUGUUAUUAUUAUAUAUUUUUGUAAAGAAAGAAAACCCCAUAGCGUGCCUCUUAGAUUUAUGGGUUUCUUAAGGUUUUUUUUUUUUAUUUUAUUUUUUUCCUAAGACCAGCAGUUAUACUUUAUACAAAAGAUGAGUUAAUCCUUAUUUUUAAAUGCCAUUUAAAGAAAAAAAUAAAAAAUAAAAAGCCUCUUUUCUUUACUCUGGACCCAGUAGCUGCACUGGCAUACAAUCGCACUGAUAGAUAUGGGGGUAAAAAAGUAUAAUUAAUAAUAAUGAUGAUGAUGAUGAUGAUUAAAAAAAUAAUGUAAGAACUACAAUAAAUUAGUUUGAAAACUUUUUUGUAAAAAAAAAAAAAAGUGUUAAAAAAGUAAACACAAUGACUGUUUUUGUAUAUCGAGUUAAUUCUUUUUAAAAAAAAAUAUUUUGGACCUAGUUUCUAAAUUAUUUUAGUGGUUUUCUAUGUUCUGGAACUUUGAGAAGAUGAGUUUUGAACACGCCCUUCAAUGACUGACAGCUUGCGGUGUUGUCAUUGUGGGAAACGGGGUUGCCUGGUGUAGCCCCAUAUGCCCACCACUUUUUGUUUCUAUUUUGAUUUUGGAUUCUUUCUUCCUUUAAGAACUUGAAAUAGCUAAAGUAAUGACUUG